UACGUAGGGGGCGAGCGUUGUCCGGAGUUACUGGGCGUAAAGCGCACGCAGGCGGUCUGCUAAGUUUGGAGUGACAGUUGGUGGCUUAACUGCCAAAGUGCUUCGAAAACUGACAGACUUGAGGGCUUCAGAGGGACACGGAAUUCCGGGUGGAGUGGUGAAAUGCGUAGAGAUCCGGAGGAACACCAAAGGCGAAGGCAGUGUCCUGGGGAGUACCUGACGCUCAGGUGCGAAAGCCAGGGGAGCAAAGGGG
rnacentral:rRNA from 1 species